AACCGCUUUCAGCUCUGACGAAGCGUUAUGUGACGGUAGGAGCAGAAGAAGCACCGGCUAACUACGUGCCAGCAGCCGCGGUAAUACGUAGGGUGCGAGCGUUGUCCGGAAUUAUUGGGCGUAAAGAGCUUGUAGGCGGUUUGUCGCGUCUGCUGUGAAAUCCCGGGGCUUAACCCCGGGCUUGCAGUGGGUACGGGCAGGCUAGAGUGUGGUAGGGGAGACUGGAAUUCCUGGUGUAGCGGUGGAAUGCGCAGAUAUCAGGAGGAACACCGAUGGCGAAGGCAGGUCUCUGGGCCAUUACUGACGCUGAGAAGCGAAAGCGUGGGGAGCGAACAGGAUUAGAUACCCUGGUAGUCCACGCCGUAAACGUUGGGCGCUAGGUGUGGGUCCCAUUCCACGGGGUCCGUGCCGCAGCUAACGCAUUAAGCGCCCCGCCUGGGGAGUACGGCCGCAAGGCUAAAACUCAAAGGAAUUGACGGGGGCUCGCACAAGCGGCGGAGCAUGCGGAUUAAUUCGAUGCAACGCGAAGAACCUUACCAAGGCUUGACAUAUACCGGAAACCCUCAGAGAUGGGGGCCCCGCAAGGUCGGUAUACAGGUGGUGCAUGGUUGUCGUCAGCU
rnacentral:rRNA from 1 species